rnacentral:tRNA from 1 species
UUCUAACUCAGUGGUAAAGAAUUUGCCUAGCAAACGCAAGGCACUGGGUUUGAUCCUCAGCAUCACAUAAAUAAAUAAAUAAAUAAAUAAAUUAAUUAAUUAAAGGUAUUGUGUCUAUCUACAACCAAAAAAAAAAAAAAAAAGAUUAAAAAGAAAGAAAACAUCUGUGCUUGGGUUGUAGCUCAGUAGUAAAGUACUUAACUAGCCAAUGCCAAGGACUGGGUUCAAUCCCCACUACUGGAAG